UUGAACGCUGGCGGCAUGCCUAACACAUGCAAGUCGAACGGCAGCGCGGGGGCAACCCUGGCGGCGAGUGGCGGACGGGUGAGGAACACAUAGGAAUCUACCCUGUCGUGGGGGAUAACGUAGGGAAACUUACGCUAAUACCGCAUACGACCGAGAGGUGAAAGCGGCGGACCGCAAGGCGUCGCGCGACUGGAUGAGCCUAUGUCCGAUUAGCUAGUUGGCGGGGUAAGAGCCCACCAAGGCGACGAUCGGUAGCUGGUCUGAGAGGAUGGUCAGCCACACUGGAACUGAGACACGGUCCAGACUCCUACGGGAGGCAGCAGUGGGGGAUAUUGGACAAUGGGCGCAAGCCUGAUCCAGCAAUGCCGCGUGGGUGAAGAAGGCCUUCGGGUUGUAAAGCCCUUUUGUACGGGAAGAAAUCUUGUCGGUUAAUACCCGGCAGGGAUGACGGUACCGUAAGAAUAAGCACCGGCUAACUUCGUGCCAGCAGCCGCGGUAAUACGAAGGAUGCAAGCGUUAAUCGGAAUUACUGGGCGUAAAGCGUGCGUAGGCGGUUCGUUAAGUCUGUCGUGAAAGCCCUGGGCUCAACCUGGGAAUGGCGAUGGAUACUGGCGAGCUAGAGUGCGGUAGAGGAUGGCGGAAUUCCCGGUGUAGCGGUGAAAUGCGUAGAGAUCGGGAGGAACAUCCGUGGCGAAGGCGGCCAUCUGGACCAGCACUGACGCUCAGGCACGAAAGCGUGGGGAGCAAACAGGAUUAGAUACCCGGGUAGUCCACGCCCUAAACUGUGGAUGCUAGGUGUGGGGGGUGUCGACCCCCUCUGUGCCGUAGCUAACGCUUUAAGCAUCCCGCCUGGGGAGUACGGCCGCAAGGCUAAAACUCAAAGGAAUUGACGGGGGCCCGCACAAGCGGCGGAGCGUGUGGUUUAAUUCGAUGCAACGCGAAGAACCUUACCAGGGCUUGACAUGCUAGUGGUACGGAUCGGAAACGUGAAGGACCCUUCGGGGAGCUAGCACAGGUGCUGCAUGGCUGUCGUCAGCUCGUGCCGUGAGGUGUUGGGUUAAGUCCCGCAACGAGCGCAACCCUCGCCGUCAGUUAUAUUUCUCUGACGGGACCGCUGGGAUAAACCCAGAGGAAGGUGGGGAUGACGUCAAGUCAGCAUGGCCCUUACGUCCUGGGCUACACACACGCUACAAUGGCCGGUACAAUGGGCUGCCAAGGCGCGAGCCGGAGCUAAUCCCGCAAAGCCGGCCUCAGUUCAGAUUGCAGGCUGCAACUCGCCUGCAUGAAGGCGGAGUCGCUAGUAACCGUAGGUCAGCACACUACGGUGAAUACGU
rnacentral:rRNA from 1 species